UUUAGCCAUCUUUCCUAAUUCCUGGGUGUCAAUUCUUUACCAUAUCAGCAUAUAUACUUGCCAGAAAAUUUCCAGGUCCACAUACAUCAUAUCAAGAUCAAACUAACUGGCUACAUGUAUAAACAAUUCCCAUCUUUGUAUGUCUACAUAAAUAUAUCUACUUACAAAAAUCUACACAGAAUGAAAUAAUUCAACAGCCUGUCUAACAGAUCAUAAUAUGAUAAAGAAGACCUGAUGGAAAGGCAAAAGGAUCCAAUCCAAGACACGAUUAUGCAUGCAUAAAUACAUGUAUUGAUGUAUGUCAGGGGGAUCCAAAAACGUUCUUCAGCUCAUCUUGGACAUCCCUAACUUUCUUAGUUUUAGCAGAAAGUUCAGCACGCUGAACAGGAUCUUCCUCAUCGCUAUCUCCAUGAAUGCUCGAUUUCUUUCCAGGAAAUGCAGCCAUACUUUUGUUGGAGAUAGUGAGGCAAAUAGAAAUUCUCAGGCCAAAAAAUCUUGCGGGUUUGUGAUUGUAAAUAACUUGCACUUUCAGGAGAACAUACUAUUGGCACACAGAACAGGUGGAUGGUGGAUGUCAAGUCAAAAAAAGCAAGGUCAACAUGUUUAAGUAUGCUCCUUCAGAUGUGCAAAUUCAGGGAAGAAAAAAUUUCACAUCUGUUAUGAGCAUCAUUGUCCAACCAUUCAUCCUUUCAAAUUUCAGCAAAAAAGAGUUAAUGUAUAUAUCUUUGCUAACAUCUACAGUGUAAGAGUUAGCAGGAAGGAACUACAUCAGUUUUCUCAUAUAUUAACCUUGAUUAACACCAAAAAAAUGAGGCAACAACUACAAAAACAUUAUCAAGUACUCGCCCACUCCACAAACAAUUUUUCCUUGUAGAAGACAGAAGUCAACAUAUUAACUAGCAUCUGUACAAGGAUCAAGGAAAAACAAAUACUCCCUCCGU
rnacentral:lncRNA from 1 species